rnacentral:ncRNA from 1 species
CCACAUAAGCCCAGCACUGAAGCUUGUAGUUGUUUGGCCUAUAAGGAAUAUGGCGUUUAGGUCUGUUCACGGGGAUACUGAUCUAAACUAAGUCAUUUGGUGAGUAGGGAAGAGGGUGAAAUGCCUGUGGGGUUGAGGCUCAGUUUGGUUAGUAUCAUUCUGAGCAGACCUUGGAGUGAAACUGUUGUCGAUUCUGCCCAAAUGUGGUUAAACUCCAUCGUAGUCUAAAUACUUGCACGAGUCUGAUAGCAAACAAGUUCCGUAAAGAAAAGUUGAAAGAUAAAUGAAAAAUAGGGAGAGAGUGAGAGCGACAGGAAGUAGUACGUGAAACCGUUUAGAGGUAAACGAGUGGAGUUGAACUGCAUGCUCCGAGGGUUCAGCUGGUGAGAUUGGUAUGAUCUUAUUCAUGCGGGUUGCCUUUUCAGGUUGGCUUAGCUGUAGGUCUUGAUCUUUGGUGGGUAUGCGAAUAUCACUUCUGUCACAAUUGCACUUGCCCGGAGUGUUCAAUACGACCGGCGUCGAUGCGUCGCUAGAGCGGUAGAACUAGUCUUGUAGAAUCCUCAUGACCUCACUUAGUUUGG